AGAGUUUGAUCCUGGCUCAGGAUGAACGCUAGCGGCAGGCUUAACACAUGCAAGUCGAGGGGCAGCGCGGGGCGGCAACGUCCUGGCGGCGACCGGCGGAAGGGUGCGUAACGCGUGAGCGACAUGCCCGUUGCCCGGGGACAACCGGUGGAAACGCCGACUAAUCCCCGAUGGGAUACGAUGCUUCAUGGCAUUGUAUUGAAAGUUACGGCGGCGACGGAUUGGCUCGCGUCCGAUUAGCUUGUUGGCGGGGUAACGGCCCACCAAGGCUACGAUCGGUAGGGGUUCUGAGAGGAAGGCCCCCCACAAUGGGACUGAGACACGGCCCAUACUCCUACGGGAGGCAGCAGUGAGGAAUAUUGGUCAAUGGGCGGAAGCCUGAACCAGCCAUGCCGCGUGCGGGAAGGAGGCCCUAUGGGCUGUGAACCGCUUUUGCCUGGGGGCAAUAAGGGCGUCGCGCACGUCCGAUGAGAGUACCAGGCGAAUAAGCAUCGGCUAACUCCGUGCCAGCAGCCGCGGUAAUACGGGGGAUGCGAGCGUUAUCCGGAUUCAUUGGGUUUAAAGGGUGCGUAGGCUGUGCGUCAAGUCGGGGGUGAAAUUCCGGUGCUCAACACCGGGGCUGCCCUUGAUACUGUCGCGCUGGAGUGCGGAUGCCGCCGGAGGAAUGAGUGGUGUAGCGGUGAAAUGCUUAGAUAUCACGAAGAACUCCGAUUGCGAAGGCAGCUCACUGGGGCGCAACUGACGCUGAAGCUCGAAAGCGCGGGUAUCGAACAGGAUUAGAUACCCUGGUAGUCCGCGCGGUAAACGAUGGAUGCCCGCUGUUGGGCCAACUGGUUCAGCGGCCAAGCGAAAGCAUUAAGCAUCCCACCUGGGGAGUACGCCGGCAACGGUGAAACUCAAAGGAAUUGACGGGGGCCCGCACAAGCGGAGGAACAUGUGGUUUAAUUCGAUGAUACGCGAGGAACCUUACCCGGGCUUGAAUUGCAGAGGAAGGAUUUGGAGACAAUGACGCCCUUCGGGGCCUCUGUGAAGGUGCUGCAUGGUUGUCGUCAGCUCGUGCCGUGAGGUGUCGGCUUAAGUGCCAUAACGAGCGCAACCCCUCUCCAUAGUUGCCAUCAGGUGAAGCUGGGCACUCUGUGGACACUGCCACCGUAAGGUGCGAGGAAGGUGGGGAUGACGUCAAAUCAGCACGGCCCUUACGUCCGGGGCUACACACGUGUUACAAUGGCAGGUACAGAGAGCCGGUCGUAUGCAAAUACGAUCCAAUCCUUAAAGCCUGUCUCAGUUCGGACUGGGGUCUGCAACCCGACCCCACGAAGCUGGAUUCGCUAGUAAUCGCGCAUCAGCCUUGGCGCGGUGAAUACGUUCCCGGGCCUUGUACACACCGCCCGUCAAGCCAUGAAAGCCGGGGGCGCCUGAAGUCCGUGACCGCAAGGAGCGGCCUAGGGCGAAACUGGUAAUUGGGGCUAAGUCGUAACAAGGUA
rnacentral:rRNA from 1 species